ACAUGGGGGAAACCCUGAUCCAGCCAUCCCGCGUGUAUGAUGAAGGCCUUCGGGUUGUAAAGUACUUUUGGCAGAGAAGAAAAGGUAUCUCCUAAUACGAGGAUACUGCUGACGGUAUCUGCAGAAUAAGCACCGGCUAACUACGUGCCAGCAGCCGCGGUAAUACGUAGGGUGCAAGCGUUAAUCGGAAUUACUGGGCGUAAAGCGUGUGUAGGCGGUUCGGAAAGAAAGAUGUGAAAUCCCAGGGCUCAACCUUGGAACUGCAUUUUUAACUGCCGAGCUAGAGUAUGUCAGAGGGGGGUAGAAUUCCACGUGUAGCAGUGAAAUGCGUAGAUAUGUGGAGGAAUACCGAUGGCGAAGGCAGCCCCCUGGGAUAAUACUGACGCUCAGACACGAAAGCGUGGGGAGCAAACAGGAUUAGAUACCCUGGUAGUCCACGCCCUAAACGAUGUCAACUAGCUGUUGGGGCCGUUAGGCCUUAGUAGCGCAGCUAACGCGUGAAGUUGACCGCCUGGGGAGUACGGUCGCAAGAUUAAAACUCAAAGGAAUUGACGGGGACCCGCACAAGCGGUGGAUGAUGUGGAUUAAUUCGAUGCAACGCGANAAACCUUACCUACCCUUGACAUGUCU
rnacentral:rRNA from 1 species